UACGGAGGGGGCGAGCGUUAUUCGGAAUUAUUGGGCGUAAAGGGCGCGUAGGCGGCCUGGCAAGUCAAAGGUGAAAUCCCUCGGCUCAACUGAGGAACUGCCUUUGAAACUGCCAGGCUUGAGGCCGGGAGGGGGUAGCGGAAUUCCCAGUGUAGCGGUGAAAUGCGUAGAUAUUGGGAGGAACACCAGUGGCGAAGGCGGCUACCUGGACCGGUUCUGACGCUGAUGCGCGAAAGCGUGGGGAGCAAACAGG
rnacentral:rRNA from 1 species